CUAAACCCUUCCCAGAGUAUCAAUUGGAGGGCAAGUCUGGUGCCAGCAGCCGCGGUAAUUCCAGCUCCAAUAGCGUAUAUUAAAGUUGUUGCAGUUAAGAAGCUCGUAGUUGAAUUUCUGCCUUGUCAUUAAUCUCGCUUCCGAGCGUUUUUUUAUUGACUUGGCAUCUUCUGGAUUUGGUGCCUUCGGGUACUAUUUUCCAGGAUUUACUUUGAGAAAACUAGAGUGUUUCAAACAGGCAUUUGCCUUGAAUACUACAGCAUGGAAUAAUGAAGUAGGACUUUGGUU
rnacentral:rRNA from 1 species